GAUGAACGCUAGCGAUAGGCCUAACACAUGCAAGUCGAGGGGCAUCACAUGAAGUAGCAAUACGGAUGGUGGCGACCGGCGCACGGGUGAGUAACACGUAUGCAACCUGCCUUCAACAAGGGGGAUAACCCGUUGAAAGACGGACUAAUACCCUAUAACACAGGGGUCCCGCAUGGGGAUAUUUGUUAAAGGACAACCGGUUGAAGAUGGGCAUGCGUUCCAUUAGCUAGUUGGCGGGGUAAGGGCCCACCAAGGCAACGAUGGAUAGGGGAACUGAGAGGUUUAUCCCCCACACUGGUACUGAGACACGGACCAGACUCCUACGGGAGCAGCAGUGAGGAAUAUUGGUCAAUGGACGCAAGUCUGAACCAGCCACGUCGCGUGAAGGAAGACGGCCCUACGGGUUGUAAACUUCUUUUGCAAGGGAAUAAAGUGGGCCACGUGUGGCCUUUUGCAAGUACCUUGCGAAUAAGGAUCGGCUAACUCCGUGCCAGCAGCCGCGGUAAUUCGCAGCGA
rnacentral:rRNA from 1 species